AAAGUACUCCCUCCGUCCCAAAAUUCUUGUCUUAGAUUUGUCUAGAUACGGAUGUAUCAAGUCACAUUUUAGUAUUAGAUACAUCCGUAUCUAGAAAAAUCUAAGACAAAAAAUUUGGGACAGAGGGAGUAGUUG
rnacentral:pre_miRNA from 1 species